UGGGCGGAUCAAGCUUACCCUAGCUUCAAACUCUCUUCUCCAAACUGAUGGUCUAUCUCUCUAAAUUUUUUUUUCUCUAAAAUUCUUUCUACUCUACCUCUCAUUAGGUCUUCUAAGUUGUUUGUAAGUCUCUCUUGUUCGAAAUGGCUCCCAAAUUGAAGCUACCGCAGAGAAGAAAGUCUAUUUGUGGGUUAGAAGAG
rnacentral:lncRNA from 1 species